rnacentral:rRNA from 1 species
GACGAACGCUGGCGGCGUGCUUAACACAUGCAAGUCGAACGGAAAGGCCCGCUGGCGGGUACUCGAGUGGCGAACGGGUGAGUAACACGUGGGCAACCUGCCCUCAGCUCCGGGAUAACACUUGGAAACAGGUGCUAAUACCGGAUAAUAACCUUUCAUCGCAUGGUGGUUGGUUCAACGUUUUUCGGCUGAGGAUGGGCCCGCGGCCUAUCAGCUUGUUGGUGGGGUAAUGGCCUACCAAGGCGACGACGGGUAGCCGGCCUGAGAGGCGCGACCGGCCACACUGGGACUGAGACACGGCCCAGACUCCUACGGGAGGCAGCAGUGGGGAAUAUUGCGCAAUGGGCGGAAGCCUGACGCAGCGACGCCGCGUGAGGGAUGACGGCCUUCGGGUUGUAAACCUCUUUCAGCUCUGACGAAGCGCAAGUGACGGUAGGAGCAGAAGAAGCACCGGCCAACUACGUGCCAGCAGCCGCCGUAA